GCGCCUCUAGCUCAGUCGGUAGAGCAGCUGCCUCUUAAGCAGCGGGUCCUCGGUUCGAGCCCGAGGGGGCGCA
rnacentral:tRNA from 1 species